UUGUACCCAAGGGCCUGACACUCUUUGAUAGAGAAAGAUAGUCUUAUUGCGAUUCCUAUAAGAGGAAAGAGAAAAUAGUGCAAUGCUUUGUCUUUAUCACCGACCGGGUUUUUUUUCAUGGUCGGGUUAUGGCAGCUUAGGAAGGAGGCUGAUGGCGAUAUACAGAAAUUUAUAAGAGUGAAAGAGACAAAAUCCCGCAAGAUGCCAUACAUUAAACUGUCAAUCAUAUUGUCAAGAGUGCUAGUAAACAAUGUGGUUUUCUUAUUGUAGAAGUUUUAUAAAGUGAAUGAUUGUCUUUAUUAAGUAUUUAAUGGAGGUGUAAGAUGUUUUUACGUACAAUUAACAUGGUGGGGUGUUCAGUGGUUGCCUACAAAAGCAAUAGCUUGCGAAAAUAAGCGGGUGUAACAUUUCAUGCCUUUCCGACGGAGGAUGAAAUUGUUAAAGAAUGGAUUGCGGGAACUGGAAAAUCAAAUUGGAUGCCUCACAAAUACUCGCGUAUUUGUUCCAAACAUUUUGAACAACAUUGUGUCCGCAAACUGGGCAAACGAACUUUCAUCGAAAAGUUUUCUUUUCCAACCUUGUUCAUACACGAGAGGAGAGAGAAAAUUCUUUUCUUCAUCAUGUCAUGGAAAUCGUCCAUUCGUGCACGUCGUCGUCGUGGCAGUCUCAACAGCAUUCUGAAGCUAUUAUUGAACUUCAUAUAAUUGAUCCACAGGUUACAAGUGUAUGUGUAAAUAAAGUUUUCUUGACCCCCACAGUAUGUACAACGCGCAACACGUAAGAUUUUUUAUUUAAACAUAAAUAUUCGGUUUUAAGUAACAGUUU